GUGCCAGCAGCCGCGGUAAUACGAGAGGUGCAAGCGUUAUUCGGAUUUAUUGGGUGUAAAGGGUGCGUAGACGGUAUAUUAAGUUUGUUGUUAAAUCCUCCGGCUCAACCGGAGACCUGCGGCAAAUACUGGUGUACUAGAGGAUGGAAGAGAGAAGUGGAAUUCUUGGAGUAGCGGUAAAAUGCGUAGAUCUCAAGAGGAACACCGAUGGCGAAGGCAACUUCUUGGUCCACUCCUGACGUUGAGGCACGAAAGCGUGGGGAGCAAACAGGAUUAGAUACCCUGGUAGUCC
rnacentral:rRNA from 1 species